rnacentral:rRNA from 1 species
UACGUAGGAGGCAAGCGUUGUCCGGAUUUACUGGGCGUAAAGCGCGCGCAGGCGGCAGUGCAAGUAAGGUGUGAAAUCUCCCUGCUCAACGGGGAGGGUGCAUUUUAGACUGCACAGCUAGAGGUCGGUAGAGGGGGGUGGAAUUGCUGGUGUAGCGGUGAAAUGCGUAGAUAUCUGGAGGAACACCGGUGGCGAAGGCGGCAUCCUGGACCGGCAUUGACGCUGAGGCGCGAAAGCCAGGGGAGCGAACAGG